ACUUCAUUCACAUGGUCUGGAACUCUAUGCCUUUUUCUCUCAAGUCUCUCAGCUCAGACUGGGCAUCUGUCAAGUCUCUAGCGAAACCGCGGCCAGCGACUACAGAGCACCCGCGACCGAUUAUCUGCGCGGCCGUACCGGAACCCUAAUCUGCGCGGAGGUGCAUUUCAAGAAAACCCUAAUUUCAGCAGCGGCGGUGCAUUUGAAGAAAACCCUGAUAGCCCAUCUAACAAUCGUCUGAGAAGAACCCAUUGAAGGAAGACAAUCGUUUGAGAAGAACCCAUUGAAGGAAGUAGAGGUACGAAUAGAUCUAGAGGAAGGUCCAACAGAUCCUAGAUCAAAAAUUUGGGGGAUUAAUUUGAAGAAUAAGAAGAAAUUGGGGCCCAUUUUUUGGAGGGCUUGAAGUCGUAAGCAAACAAGAAAAACAGAAAGCUUUCGUCUCCGACCCAACAACAUCAGAGCUUUCAACUCCAGAGGCCGAUUAUCAACUCAACACAGUUUUGAUGCUCUAAUUGGUGAAGUGCUGGAAAAGGAGAGCAAAGGGAGAAUCUAUCCAGAUUGCCGUGUUCUUCAUCAAGGGCUUUGAACUGCCAACUCGGAAUCUGCUUUUGAUUGUAUUUGCUAUCAAGAUUGAGGUGCUGAAAUACUUGCAACCUUGUCCAAAGUCAAAUCCAAAGUUCAAAGUUCACAGCUCAAUCAAAAUAUACAAUACGCAAAAAAAAUAAGAAAGGCAGAAAAAUAGUUACAUGGAAAAAUUGUGCGGGCAUUCCGGAGCAGCAAGGUGAUAAAACCUGUGGGUUAUGGAUUAUGCAUUACAUGAAGGACAUAGUGGAGGACAAGAACCAAGAGUGGAGUGCUAAGUGGGACAGAAAAGCAAGCAACAUGUACACACAAAAUGAUAUUGAUGAGGUUCGGGCCGAGUGGGCACAAUAUGUUGCCUAGUUUCAAGAAAGCUAGUGCCUAACUAGGACAUGCAUCACAAUAUAACCCAUAUUAGAAAGCUAUAGGUACUAGUUUUUUGCCUUACAUGCUCGAUACUGUGAUGUUUUUUGGGUUGCCUUUAUCGAUCAUGUCUUUUGUUUCAUGUAUGGGUUGUAUUGAACUGAUGCAUAGCAGGUUGUGUAAUAUACUGAAUGAUUUGCCAGUUUAAUGAAAUGACAUUUUCUGGAUUUCCAAAUUACCA